GGAAUAUUGCACAAUGGGGGAAACCCUGAUGCAGCAACGCCGCGUGGAGGAAGACGGUUUUCGGAUUGUAAACUCCUGUUCUUAGGGAAGAAGAAAGUGACGGUACCUAAGGAGCAAGCCACGGCUAACUACGUGCCAGCAGCCGCGGUAAUACGUAGGUGGCAAGCGUUGUCCGGAAUUACUGGGUGUAAAGGGAGCGCAGGCGGGGGAGCAAGUCAGCUGUGAAAUGCAUGGGCUUAACCGAUGAACUGCAGUUGAAACUGUUCUUCUUGAGUGAAGUAGAGGUUGGCGGAAUUCCGAGUGUAGCGGUGAAAUGCGUAGAUAUUCGGAGGAACACCGGUGGCGAAGGCGGCCAACUGGGCUUUUACUGACGCUGAGGCUCGAAAGUGUGGGGAGCAAACA
rnacentral:rRNA from 1 species